GACGUAGGCAGCGAGCGUUGUUCGGAAUUACUGGGCGUAAAGAGUGUGUAGGCGGUGCUCUAAGUUCGGUGUGAAAUCUCCUGGCUCAACUGGGAGGGUGCGCCGGAAACUGGAGUGCUUGAGCGUGGGAGAGGAAAGCGGAAUUCCUGGUGUAGCGGUGAAAUGCGCAGAUAUCAGGAGGAACACCUGUGGCGAAAGCGGCGCACUGGACCAUAACUGACGCUGAGGCGCGAAAGCUAGGGGAGCAAACAGG
rnacentral:rRNA from 1 species